rnacentral:rRNA from 1 species
GACGAACGCUGGCGGCGUGCUUAACACAUGCAAGUCGAACGAAGAGCGAUUGAAGCUUGCUUCUAUCAAUCUUAGUGUCGAACGGGUGAGUAACGCGUAAUCAACCUUCCCUUCAGAGGGGGACAACAGUUGGAAACGACUGCUAAUACCGCAUACGAUCUAAUCUCGGCAUCGAGGGUAGAUGAAAGGUGGCCUCUACAUGUAAGCUAUCACUGAAGUAGGGGAUUGCGUCUGGUUAGCUAGUUGGAGGGGUAACGGCCCACCAAGGCGAUGAUCAGUAGGCGGUCUGAGAGGAUGAACGGCCACAUUGGGACUGAGACACGGCCCAGAAUCCUACGGGAGGCAGCAGUGGGGAAUCUUCCGCAAUGGACGAAAGUCUGACGGAGCAACGCCGCGUGAGUGAUGACGGCCUUCGGGUUGUAAAGCUCUGUUAAUCGGGAAGAAAGGCCUUCUUGCGAAUAGUGAGAAGGAUUGACGGUACCGGAAUAGAAAGCCACGGCUAACUACGUG